rnacentral:rRNA from 1 species
UACGAAGGGUGCUAGCGUUGUUCGGAAUUACUGGGCGUAAAGCGCGCGUAGGCGGCAACUCAAGUCAGGGGUGAAAUCCUGGGGCUUAACCCCAGAAUUGCCUUUGAAACUGUGUUGCUAGAGUGUCGGAGGGGAUAGCGGAAUUGCUAAUGUAGAGGUGAAAUUCGUAGAUAUUAGCAGGAACACCGGUGGCGAAGGCGGCUAUCUGGAUGACAACUGACGCUGAGGCGCGAAAGCGUGGGGAUCAAACAGG